AGAAUUUCGAUUUUGUGAGUUGGGUUUACAUAUUUGUUCAACUUCAUCGCCUUCUCGUCAAUCCUGUGAUAUUAUCAAUUUUUUCAUCGGACAUUUUUUAGGUAAAAAAAUGAUUCACAAACGGCCUUUUGUUGACGAUGAUUCUUAUGAGGUUGCUUGUAAGCACCCUAGACACCUUGAACACAUUGAACAGUUUGCUCCAAUUGCCCCUCCUAAUGAUUCUCACCAGAAAGCUGUAAUUUCAGAUGGUGAUGACAGUCUCUGUAACUGUCAAGAUGUUGGGAGCUCUGCAAAUGAUUUGGUCACAGUUGUUUCAAAUGACCCCAACAGCUUAGAAAGUGGUCCUUCUGGCUAUUUGCCCCAUUUUUUUUGGAUCAACAACGGAAUUCUUGAAGCAGAUAACCUCUCAGUUUUCCCAGAGUAUUUUGAUCAUGGACACCAGCUAAGGGC
rnacentral:misc_RNA from 1 species